GUCUACAGCCAUGCCACUCUGAACAAGCUCCACGUCUGAUCUCGGAAGCUAAUCAGGGUUGGUCUUGGUUAGUACUUGGAUGGAAGACCAUCUAGGAAGACCAGGUGCUGUAGGCA
rnacentral:rRNA from 1 species